GGAAUGGCAAAAGUUACAAAUGCUUAUGAUCUUCCUGCUAGGAGGGUCAUACAUACUGUUGGUCCCAAGUAUGCUGUAAAAUACCAUAUUGCUGCAGAGAAUGCGCUAAGCCAUUGCUAUCGCUCUUGCUUUGAGCUUCUUAUAGAAAAUGGGCUGAAGAGCAUUGCUAUGGACUGUAUAUAUACAGAAGCGAAAAGUUACCCACGAGAACCAGCUGCUCAUGUGGCAAUAAGUGAGAUAUCU
rnacentral:misc_RNA from 1 species